rnacentral:rRNA from 1 species
AUUGAACGCUGGCGGAAUGCUCUACACAUGCAAGUCGAACGGCAGCACGGACUCCGGUCUGGUGGCGAGUGGCGAACGGGUGAGUAAUGUAUCGGAACGUGCCCAGUCGUGGGGGAUAACGUAGUGAAAAUUACGCUAAUACCGCAUACGAUCUAUGGAUGAAAGCGGGGGAUCGCAAGACCUCGCGCGAUUGGAGCGGCCGAUAUCAGAUUAGGUAGUUGGUGGGGUAAAGGCCCACCAAGCCAACGAUCUGUAGCUGGUCUGAGAGGACGACCAGCCACACUGGAACUGAGACACAGUCCAGACUCCUACGGGAGGCAGCAGUGGGGAAUGUUGGACAAUGGGCGAAAGCCUGAUCCAGCCAUUCCGCGUGCAGGAUGAAGGCCCUCGGGUUGUAAACUGCUUUUGUACAGAACGAAAAGGUUUCUACUAAUACUAGGAGCUCAUGACGGUACUGUAAGAAUAAGCACCGGCUAACUACGUGCCAGCCGCCGCCGUAA